CCCGGGGGGGCGUGGCCUCAGCCGGCCGGCGGGCCUCGCGGGAACAGCGACCCCUGCAGGGCGGCCGAGGACCCACCACCGGGCGGAGUCGCUGUAGAGGGACUCGCGGGAACAGCGACCCCUGCAGGGCGGCCGAGGACCCACCACCGGGCGGAGUCGCUGUAGAGGGCUUCGCGGGAACAGCGACCCCUGCAGGGCGGCUGAAGUCCCUUGUCGGGUGGAGCUCCUGGCUGACGCCCUCGGAACAGCGACCCCUGGAGGUCACUAGGGACUAAUCCCAGGGUCAGAGCAUCCGCAGAAGUCCUUACACGGAGCCUUCUGGGCUGCCCUGCACCCCACCCUGGUUCUCCCGGGGAGCCUCAGUUUCUUUCUAUUUUGAAGAUGAGUAUUCUGAAGGCACAGCUCACACAGCUUGCUUAGCACCUGCAGGUCACCAGCACAGUGAACACAUCACGACUUUGACUCAUCACACCGGAGACACUUGCCAAGUUUUCCCAUGUAGUAUGGCUCUGUAUGUACGCAGAGGUGUUUAAAAAGUUUUUUGAAAUCUUGCUGUAACACAAAAAGGUCUUAUAAUAAAAAACCCAGAGCCAGAUAUUGGAGUGAAAGCUGAAAGGUCAGAGAAGCAGAACAGCCAGCCACUAGCUUACCUCUAUGAAAUCCUCAGCUUCAAGAGAGCA